GGACUACCGGGGUUUCUAAUCCUGUUUGAUCCCCACGCUUUCGUGCCUCAGCGUCAAUCAUCGUGUAGCAAGCUGCCUUCGCAAUUGGUGUUCUAUGUCAUAUCUAAGCAUUUCACCGCUACAUGACAUAUUCCGCCUGCCUCCACGACAUUCAAGACAGAUAGUAUCAACGGCAGUUUCCGAGUUAAGCUCGGAGAUUUCACCACUGACUUACCUGCCCACCUACGCACCCUUUAAACCCAGUGAAUCCGGAUAACGCUUGCACCCUCCGUAUUACCGCGGCUGCUGGCAC
rnacentral:rRNA from 1 species